CCUACGGGAGGCUGCAGUGGGGGAUAUUGCACAAUGGGGGAAACCCUGAUGCAGCGACGCCGCGUGAGUGAAGAAGUAUUUCGUUAUGUAAAGCUCUAUCAGCAGGGAAGAAAAUGACAGUACCUGACCAAGAAGCCCCGGCUAACUACGUGCCAGCAGCCGCGGUAAUACGUAGGGGGCAAGCGUUAUCCGGAUUUACUGGGGGUAAAGGGAGCGUAGACGGUAGCGGAAGUCUGAAGUGAAAUGCCGGGGCCUAACCCCGGAACUGCUUUGGAAACUGUGCAACUAGAGUGCAGGAGAGGUAAGUGGAAUUCCUAGUGUAGCGGUGAAAUGCGUAGAUAUUAGGAGGAACACCAGUGGCGAAGGCGGCUUACUGGACUGUAACUGACGUUGAGGCUCGAAAGCGUGGGGAGCAAACAGGAUUAGAUACCCUAGUAGUC
rnacentral:rRNA from 1 species